GCAUAUCAAUAAGCGGAGGAAAAGAAACUAACAAGGAUUCCCCUAGUAACGGCGAGUGAAGAGGGAAAAGCUCAAAUUUAAAAGCUGUUGCCUUUCAGGUAACCGCAUUGUAAUCUCAAGAAGUGUUUUCGAUUGUAGCCUGCGUAUAAGUACCUUGGAAUAGGUUGGCAUAGAGGGUGAAACUCCCGUCUUUGAUGCAGAUUACUAUGAUCAUGUGAUACACUUUCUAAGAGUCGAGUUGUUUGGGAAUGCAGCUCAAAAUGGGUGGUAAAUUCCAUCUAAAGCUAAAUAUUGGCCUGAGACCGAUAGCGAACAAGUACCGUGAGGGAAAGAUGAAAAGCACUUUGGAAAGAGAGUCAAACAGAACGUGAAAUUGCUGAAAGGGAAGCGUUUGAAGUUAGUCUGAUAGAAGUUGUUCAAUUGUUACUUUGGUUUCAAUGUAUGCAACUUUUUAUCGGUCAACAUCAAUUUUGAUUGAUGGAUAAAGGUAAUAGAAAUGUGGCUACAUUUGUAGUGUUAUAGUCUAUUAUCAUAAACAUUGAUUGAGAUUGAGGACGGCAGUGUACCUUUUAGGAAGGUGUUCGCACCUAUUACACUAAGGAUGUUGACAAAAUAGCUUUAAGCGACCCGUCUUGAAACACGGACCAAGGAGUCUAACAUAUCUGCGAGUAUUUGAGUGACAAACUCGAAUGCGUAAUGAAAGUGAAUGUAGGUGUGAAGCGUAAGCUGCAACAUCGACCGAUCUGGAAUUUUUAUAAUGAUGGAUUUGAGUAAGAGCAUAUAUGUUGGGACCCGAAAGAUGGUGAACUAUGCCUGAAUAGGGUGAAGCCAGAGGAAACUCUGGUGGAGGCUCGUAGCGGUUCUGACGUGCAAAUCGAUCGUCAAAUUUGGGUAUAGGGGCGAAAGACUUAAUCGAACCAUCUAGUAGCUGGUUCCUGCCGA
rnacentral:rRNA from 1 species